CCUGGAACCAUUAAGGAAUUGCAAUUAAUAUUAUCAGCCACGGACCAGGGAAUCAUGUUUUUUUUAAAUCUUCUUUAUGUUGAUAUCCUUGUCAGUUCAAGGAGAGCUAACUCAGAUCCUGAGCUGCUGGCUCAGACAGGAGCCCACACUGGCAGCCCCCGUGGUCAACAAAUAAGUAAUCCAGCUCUGAAACCAAACAUGAAUAAAGCAAAAUCCAUUAGCAUCUCACCAUACCCAAGAUGCCUUCAGAGGCAUAGAACAUAGAGUUCUCGAAAAUUAACUGAUAAUAUAAAGAUAUAAACUCAGAAGACCAGAAAGAUAUAAAAUGAGAGGCUUAUACAAUGUCAGAAAUAUACAAUGAGUU